GACGGGGGGGGCAAGUGUUCUUCGGAAUGACUGGGCGUAAAGGGCACGUAGGCGGUGAAUCGGGUUGAAAGUGAAAGUCGCCAAAAAGUGGCGGAAUGCUCUCGAAACCAAUUCACUUGAGUGAGACAGAGGAGAGUGGAAUUUCGUGUGUAGGGGUGAAAUCCGUAAAUAUACGAAGGAACGCCAAAAGCGAAGGCAGCUCUCUGGGUCCCUACAGACGCUGGGGUGCGAAAGCAUGGGGAGCGAACAGG
rnacentral:rRNA from 1 species